AUGGCUAUAUCAUGUUGAAAUACUGGUUCCCAUACGAUCACCAAAGUUAAGCAAUGUUGAGCCUAGUCAUACCUAGAUGGGUGAUCACUUGAGAAUACUAGGUGCCGUAA